UAGGGAAUCUUCGGCAAUGGACGAAAGUCUGACCGAGCAACGCCGCGUGAGUGAAGAAGGUUUUCGGAUCGUAAAACUCUGUUGUUAGAGAAGAACAAGGACGUUAGUAACUGAACGUCCCCUGACGGUAUCUAACCAGAAAGCCACGGCUAACUACGUGCCAGCAGCCGCGGUAAUACGUAGGUGGCAAGCGUUGUCCGGAUUUAGUGGGCGUAAAGCGAGCGCAGGCGGUUUCUUAAGUCUGAUGUGAAAGCCCCCGGCUCAACCGGGGAGGGUGGUUGGAAGCUGGGAGACUUGAGUGCAGAAGAGGAGAGUGGAAUUCCAUGUGUAGCGGUGAAAUGCGUAGAUAUAUGGAGGAACACCAGUGGCGAAGGCGGCUCUCUGGUCUGUAACUGACGCUGAGGCUCGAAAGCGUGGGGAGCAAACAGG
rnacentral:rRNA from 1 species